AGAUGUGUAGGUGCUGCAUGGUUGUCGUCAGCUCGUGCCGUGAGGUGUCGGCUUAAGUGCCAUAACGAGCGCAACCCUCAUCAUUAGUUACCAUCAGGUAAGGCUGGGGACUCUAAUGAGACUGCCAUCGUAAGAUGUGAGGAAGGUGGGGAUGACGUCAAAUCAGCACGGCCCUUACGUCCGGGGCGACACACGUGUUACAAUGGGUGGUACAAAGGGCAGCUACCUGGCGACAGGAUGCUAAUCUCCAAAACCACUCUCAGUUCGGAUCGGAGUCUGCAACUCGACUCCGUGAAGCUGGAUUCGCUAGUAAUCGCGCAUCAGCCACGGCGCGGUGAAUACGUUCCCGGGCCUU
rnacentral:rRNA from 1 species